AAACUAACUGAAAUGUUGCACACCUAAUUCCACAGCACACCUACAUGUUAAGGUUGUCAUAGUCAAGCUAGCAUAGAUGAACUACUUCCCUCUCAAUCGCUAUUUUUCUUCUUAAUUAAAACUUUUCCUGACCUUGUUAUCUAGUUGUUUCAGUGUUGUCAA